rnacentral:rRNA from 1 species
GAUGAACGCUGGCGGCGUGCUUAACACAUGCAAGUCGAACGGUGAAGCAGGAGCUUGCUCCUGUGGAUCAGUGGCGAACGGGUGAGUAACACGUGAGCAAUCUGCCCUGGACUCUGGGAUAAGCGUUGGAAACGACGUCUAAUACCGGAUACGAGGCGUGGGGGCAUCCCCAACGCCUGGAAAGAAUUUCGGUCCAGGAUGAGCUCGCGGCCUAUCAGGUAGUUGGUGAGGGAACGGCUCACCAAGCCUACGACGGGUAGCCGGCCUGCGAGGGUGACCGGCCACAAUGGGACUGAGACACGGCCCAGACUCCUACGGGAGGCAGCAGUGGGAAUAUUGCACAAUGGGCGCAAGCCUGAUGCAGCAACGCCGCGUGAGGGACGACGGCCUUCGGGUUGUAAACCUCUUUUAGCAGGGAAGAAGCGAAAGUGACGGUACCUGCAGAAAAAGCACCGGCUAACUACGUGCCAGCCGCCGCGGUAAGAC